rnacentral:rRNA from 1 species
UGCAAGCCCGAAGCGGUAGAAGAUGUCUUUCGGAAUCUGUGAGAGCGGCGUACGGGUGCGGAACACGUGUGCAACCUGCCUUUAUCUGGGGGAUAGCCUUUCGAAAGGAAGAUUAAUACCCCAUAAUAUAUUGAUUGGCAUCACUUGAUAUUGAAAACUCCGGUGGAUAGAGAUGGGCACGCGCAAGAUUAGAUAGUUGGUGAGGUAACGGCUCACCAAGUCAGUGAUCUUUAGGGGGCCUGAGAGGGUGAUCCCCCACACUGGUACUGAGACACGGACCAGACUCCUACGGGAGGCAGCAGUGAGGAAUAUUGGACAAUGGGUGAGAGCCUGAUCCAGCCAUCCCGCGUGAAGGACGACGGCCCUAUGGGUUGUAAACUUCUUUUGUAUAGGGAUAAACCUUUCCACGUGUGGAAAGCUGAAGGUACUAUACGAAUAAGCACCGGCUAACUCCGUGCCAGCAGCCGCGGUAAUACGGAGGGUGCAAGCGUUAUCCGGAUUUAUUGGGUUUAAAGGGUCCGUAGGCGGGCUCGUAAGUCAGUGGUGAAAUCUCAUAGCUUAACUAUGAAACUGCCAUUGAUACUGCGAGCCUUGAGUAAGGUAGAGGUAGCUGGAAUAAGUAGUGUAGCGGUGAAAUGCAUAGAUAUUACUUAGAACACCAAUUGCGAAGGCAGGUUACCAUGUCUUAACUGACGCUGAUGGACGAAAGCGUGGGGAGCGAACAGGAUUAGAUACCCUGGUAGUCCACGCCGUAAACGAUGCUAACUCGUUUUUGGGUCUUCGGAUUCAGAGACUAAGCGAAAGUGAUAAGUUAGCCACCUGGGGAGUACGUUCGCAAGAAUGAAACUCAAAGGAAUUGACGGGGGCCCGCACAAGCGGUGGAUUAUGUGGUUUAAUUCGAUGAUACGCGAGGAACCUUACCAAGGCUUAAAUGGGAAUUGACAGGUUUAGAAAUAGACUUUUCUUCGGACAAUUUUCAAGGUGCUGCAUGGUUGUCGUCAGCUCGUGCCCUGAGGUGUUAGGUUAAUUCCUGCAACGAAGCGCAACCCCUGUCACUAGUUGCUAGCAUUAAGUUGAGGACUCU